GGACAGCCAUCGCCGAGUCCCCGUACGGCGCGAGCCAGGGGAGCCGGGGACCCACCGUCCCUGGGGUGAAUCGGGCGCCCGCGCGGCAGCGAGGGGGCCCGUAGGAGACCUUCCUGCUCCGAACCCGUCAGCUAACCCGGUAGGCGAGAGGGAAGGAAAGG
rnacentral:sRNA from 2 species